GAUUAAGAACGCAGCGAAAUGCGAUAAGUAGUGUGAAUUGCAGAAUUCAGUGAAUCAUCGAAUCUUUGAACGCACAUUGCGCCCCUUGGUAUUCCAUGGGGCAUGCCUGUUCGAGCGUCAUUUGUACCCUCAAGCUUUGCUUGGUGUUGGGUGUUUGUCCCGCGUUGCGCGUGGACUCGCCUUAAAGCGAUUGGCAGCCGGCAUAUUGGCCUUGGAGCGCAGCACAUUUUGCGCUUCUAGUCAUGAAUGUUGGCGUCCAUUAAGCCUAUACAUUUGCUCUUGACCUCGGAUCAGGUAGGGAUACCCGCUGAACUUAAGCAUAUCAAUAAGCGGAGGA
rnacentral:misc_RNA from 1 species